rnacentral:rRNA from 1 species
GGACAGGUGGUGCAUGGUUGUCGUCAGCUCGUGUCGUGAGAUGUUGGGUUAAGUCCCGCAACGAGCGCAACCCUCGACCUUAGUUGCCAGCAUUCAGUUGGGCACUCUAAGGUGACUGCCGGCUAAAAGUCGGAGGAAGGUGGGGAUGACGUCAAAUCAUCAUGCCCCUUAUGACCUGGGCUACACACGUGCUACAAUGGGCGGUACAAAGGGUCGCGAACCCGCGAGGGGGAGCCAAUCCCAAAAAGCCGCUCUCAGUUCGGAUUGCAGGCUGCAACUCGCCUGCAUGAAGCCGGAAUCGCUAGUAAUCGCGGAUCAGCAUGCCGCGGUGAAUACGCUCCCGGGCCUU